rnacentral:rRNA from 1 species
GAUGAACGCUAGCUACAGGCUUAACACAUGCAAGUCGAGGGGUAACGAGAGGAAAGCUUGCUUUCCUUGUCGACGACCGGCGCACGGGUGAGUAACGCGUAUCCAACCUGCCCCCAACUAGGGAAUAACCUUGCGAAAGUAAGACUAAUACCCUAUAAUUUCCUCAGAUGUCAUCUGACGAGGAAUAAAGAUUUAUCGGUUGUGGAUGGGGAUGCGUCUGAUUAGCUUGUUGGCGGGGUAACGGCCCACCAAGGCAACGAUCAGUAGGGGUUCUGAGAGGAAAGUCCCUACAUUGGAACUGAGACACGGUCCAAACGCCUACGGGAGGCAGCAGUGAGGAAUAUUGUUCAAUGGGCGGAAGCAUGAACCAGCCAAGUAGCAUGCAGGAUGACGGCACUAUUAGUUGUCAACUGCUUUUAUACAGGAAUAAAGUUAGCCACGUGUGGUUAUUUGUAGGUACUGUAUGAAUAAGGACCGGCUAAUUCCGUGCCAGCCGCCGCAGUAA